rnacentral:tRNA from 1 species
GAAGGUAUAGCUCAGUGGUAAAGAAUCUGCUUAGCAUGCAUGAAGUCCUGGAUUCAAUCUCCAGUACCUCCA